UUCGAUAAAGCCGAACCCAUCGAAAGAUGGGGACGGGAAACCACAAGUUUCAGAUAGUUUCGUUGAUUCAAGCUCCUAGUUUUUUUGGCGCUUCCUUAAGAUCUUGAUUCUCUACUAAACAGUAUUGAGCUGCAGCGC
rnacentral:ncRNA from 1 species